GAAGCGCACUGCUAAGUCAUACACACAUAUGGGUUGUUGGGAGGUCUUAUUAUUCGGGCCAAUAGAACAUAAUAUACCACAAAUACAAAAGAUUGUUUUUAAGAAAAUGAUCAAAUCAAAAGAAGGAACAAUACAAUGCAAUAUUAUUCCUACAUUAUCAAGUGGUAUAAUGGCUAGCAAAUGAACAAGUAUAAUCUUCCUUUUAGGGGGUGUUUAGAUUAACGAAUCUGUAAAUCCAAUAUAAGUCAAGUGUAGUGAUAUUUGAGUUUUUCUAAAGUUUGCUAAUUUUUUAUUGUUUGUUUUAACGUAACUCGUGUAGUCUGAAAGUUAAAUUUAAUUAUUUCUUCUGUUUGUGAUGUAAUUUGGUGUUGGUAAAAUUAGUUUUUUAAAUUCUGUUGUUUGUUUCGAUGUAAGUAAGUGCAUCCCGUUAUCUCCUAAAUAUAGUGAUAAAUUUAUUGCAAUAAAAUUUAACCUAUUAUAUAAUUAAAUUUAUUAUUAUUAUUUAAAGGUAAUCUUAAUUUAUUAUAAAUAAAAUAAUUCUAACCCAUUAUAAAGGAAGUAGAGUUUAGGUUUUACUAUUUAAUAAAUAUUUUAGAGGAGGCUAAGCGUGGCGGAAGUCGAGUUCGGCACUUUAGGGCAUGUUUGUUUCACCGAAACUAGACUUUGGGUUGAACUGGACUUUGGAUUAAACUGGAGUUCGGUGAAAACUAUUUCUUUCUCGCUGUUUGUUUCGUAGUUAUGGAAGUAAAAUUCUAUCAGUUUUGCUGUUUGUUUGGUAAGAAGUGUAUAAUAUAAAACUAUAAUUUAUAUAUAAAUAAUAAAUAUUUUAAUAAAUAAAAAUAAUAUAAUUAUAUUUUUUAUAUAAUAAUACAACAAUAAAAUUAUAAAGUAAAAAAAAUUAAUACUUGAUUAAUCAAUUUUUAUCAUAUUUUAAAUAUAUCAACCAAAUAAAAAAAUAAUUAAUACCAUAAUUAAAUAUAAUUAAAUAUAAUUAUUUUUAUCUCGUAUAUUAUUUUAUUAUUUUUUCUUCACCNAAACUAAAUUAAAAAAAAAUUAAAACUUAACUAAUAAAUUUUUAUCAUAUUUUAGAUAUAUUAACUGAAUAAAAAAAUAAUUAGUAAUAUAAUUAAAUAUAUUUAAAUAUAACUAGUUUUAUCUAUUAUAUUAUUUUAUUAUUUUUUCUCAUUUCUUUAUCGUAAUUGACUUCGGCCUAUGAUGGGGCGAAAUCAAUUACGCUGUUUGAGGUUAACUCGAGUUUCGACCGUAACUUUUUAACGGCGAAUCAAAUAACGGAAAUGAUCAUUUAGGACGAAAAUGACUUCCCUCCUCUCCACUUUUACGGCGCGUUUGUUUUGAUGUUAGUGGAGUGAUGGAACUCGAUGGAACUCAAGUCCCAUCACUUCUGUCAUUUGUUUUGGUGUAAGUGAAAAAUAUAAUGUAACUUAAGUUACGUUAGAGAUCCACUUCACCUACUCUCGACUUUCUCCUCUAAAAUGUCGAACUCGACUUCCACCACACUCAACCUCCUCUAAAAAAAUUAUUAAACAGUAAAACUUAAACUCUACUUUCUUUAUAAUGGAUUAGAAUUACUUUAUUUAUAAUAAAUUAGGAUUACAUUUUAAAUAAUAAUAAAAAAUUUAAUCAUAUAAUAGGUUAAAUUUUAUAGUGGUAAAUUUACUACUAUAUUUAGGAGAUAAUGGGAUCCACUUACUUACAUCAAAACAAACAACGGAAUUUAAAAAACUAAUUUUACCAGUACCAAGUUAUAUCAAAACAAACAGAAGAAGUAAUUGAAUUUAACUUUCAGACGGUACGAGUUACGUCAAAACAAACAAUAAAAAAAUAAUCACACUUCAGGAAAACUCAAACACCACUACACUUGACUUACGUUGGAUCUAUAAAUUCGUCAAUCCAAACGCCCCCUUAGGUGAAGCGGAGGUUUAACGUAACUUGAGUUAUACUAUAUUUUUUAUUUACAUCAAAAUAAAUAACGAAAGUGAUGGAAUUUAAAUUUCAUCACUCCACUUACACCAAACCAAAAGGAUCCUUAGUAGGUAAAUCCUAAAUUCAAAUUCUUUUUUAUUCUUCCCUGAUCUAUACGAUGAACUCAUAUGCGGUANAUUUUGAACCAGCUAUUCAACCAUUCAAAAUUUUGAUUUGAUUAAACAAUAUUUUAAUUUGUUUGAUUUGAAUCAGCCAACAAUACUUGACUUCAAAAUUUAAGUUAAUUACUCUGAUAAAUUUAUAGUUACGAUAAUUGUAUGAAGUAUAUCAAAUAAAAUUAUAAAAAUAAACAAUAUAUUUAAAUUUUAAACUUAAAGUGCUUAUUAACUAACUCAAAUAAAAUAAAAUAAAAAAUUUGAUAGUAAAAUCU
rnacentral:lncRNA from 1 species